UACGUAGGGUGCAAGCGUUGUCCGGAAUUAUUGGGCGUAAAGAGCUCGUAGGCGGUUUGUCGCGUCGAAUGUGAAAUCCCGGGGCUCAACUCCGGGUCUGCAUUCGAUACGGGCAGACUAGAGUUCGGUAGGGGAGUCUGGAAUUCCUGGUGUAGCGGUGAAAUGCGCAGAUAUCAGGAAGAACACCCGUGGCGAAGGCGGCUCUCUGGGACGGUACUGACGCUGAGACGCGAAAGCGUGGGGAGCGAACAGG
rnacentral:rRNA from 1 species